rnacentral:rRNA from 1 species
CGGACGGGUGAGUAAUGCUGGGAAACUGCCUGAUGGAGGGGGAUAACUACUGGAAACGGUAGCUAAUACCGCAUAACGUCGCAAGACCAAAGAGGGGGACCUUCGGGCCUCUUGCCAUCAGAUGUGCCCAGAUGGGAUUAGCUAGUAGGUGGGGUAACGGCUCACCUAGGCGACGAUCCCUAGCUGGUCUGAGAGGAUGACCAGCCACACUGGAACUGAGACACGGUCCAG